rnacentral:rRNA from 1 species
GAACGAACGCUGGCGGCAGGCUUAACACAUGCAAGUCGAGCGCCCCGCAAGGGGAGCGGCAGACGGGUGAGUAACGCGUGGGAAUCUACCCAUCUCUACGGAACAACUCCGGGAAACUGGAGCUAAUACCGUAUACGUCCUUCGGGAGAAAGAUUUAUCGGAGAUGGAUGAGCCCGCGUUGGAUUAGCUAGUUGGUGGGGUAAUGGCCUACCAAGGCGACGAUCCAUAGCUGGUCUGAGAGGAUGAUCAGCCACACUGGGACUGAGACACGGCCCAGACUCCUACGGGAGGCAGCAGUGGG